GAUGAACGCUGGCGGCGUGCUUAACACAUGCAAGUCGAACGGUGAAGGCGGAGCUUGCUCUGCUGGAUCAGUGGCGAACGGGUGAGUAACACGUGAGCAAUCUGCCCCUGACUGUGGGAUAAGCGCUGGAAACGGCGUCUAAUACUGGAUACGAGCUGCGAAGGCAUCUUCAGCAGCUGAAAAGACUUUCGGUCAUGGAUGAGCUCGCGGCCUAUCAGCUUGUUGGUGAGGUAAUGGCUCACCAAGGCGUCGACGGGUAGCCGGCCUGGGAGGGUGACCGGCCACACUGGGACUGAGACACGGCCCAGACUCCUACGGGAGGCAGCAGUGGGGAAUAUUGCACAAUGGGCGAAAGCCUGAUGCAGCAACGCCGCGUGAGGGACGACGGCCUUCGUGUUGUAAACCUCUUUUAGCAGGGAAGAAGCGAAAGUGACGGUACCUGCAGAAAAAGCGCCGGCUAACUACGUG
rnacentral:rRNA from 1 species